GAACAAGCUGAGAACACAGCAAGACCAUUGGACAUAGAGGUGAUGCCGGCCCGACCAACUGAGGAGACCACCCAGACAAGACGCGGUUGGUGGACACCAAAUUGCCUGAGAAGACAAAACAAGAGCAGCAGCAUCAGAAAGAGCAGCAGGAACAGACUAACAAGAUGCCUCAGGUUCUUCUGCUGCUGCAGUUAUGAUGACACCGGCGAAUAAGAGAAAUAUGAGAUGUCUGGUCCUCAUGGCGUCCUCAGCAACACCAUGAACUUCACCUGA